rnacentral:rRNA from 1 species
AGAGUUUUAUCCUGGCUCAGGAUGAACGCUGGCGGCGUGCCUAACACAUGCAAGUCGAGCGAGAAGUCUGCAAAAGAAACUUCGGUGGACAUUGGAGAUGGAAAGCGGCGGACGGGUGAGUAACGCGUAGGCAACCUGCCCUUUGCAGAGGGAUAGCCUCGGGAAACCGGGAUUAAAACCACAUAAAGCCGGGAGACCGCAUGGGAUACCGGUCAAAGAUUUAUCGGCAGAGGAUGGGCCUGCGUCUGAUUAGUUAGUUGGUGAGGUAACGGCUCACCAAGGCAAUGAUCAGUAGCCGACCUGAGAGGGUGAACGGCCACAUUGGAACUGAGACACGGUCCAAACUCCUACGGGAGGCAGCAGUGGGGAAUAUUGCACAAUGGGGGAAACCCUGAUGCAGCAACGCCGCGUGAGCGAAGAAGGCCUUUGGGUCGUAAAGCUCUGUCGGAAGGGAAGAAGGACGUGACGGUACCUUCCGAGGAAGCCCCGGCUAACUACGUGCCAGCAGCCGCGGUAAUACGUAGGGGGCAAGCGUUAUCCGGAAUUAUUGGGCGUAAAGAGUACGUAGGCGGUCUUUUAAGCGCAGGGUAUAAGGCAAGGGCUUAACCUUUGUUGGCCCUGUGAACUGGAGGACUUGAGUAUCGGAGAGGGAAGCGGAAUUCCUAGUGUAGCGGUGAAAUGCGUAGAUAUUAGGAGGAACACCAGUGGCGAAGGCGGCUUUCUGGACGAAAACUGACGCUGAGGUACGAAAGCGUGGGGAGCAAACAGGAUUAGAUACCCUGGUAGUCCACGCUGUAAACGAUGAGCACUAGGUGUCGGGGUGGCUAGACUCCUGUGCCGGAGUUGUCGCAAUAAGUGAUCUGCUCGGGGGGGCGGCACGCAAGUGUGAAACUCAAAGGAAUGGCCGGGGACCGGCUCAAGCAGCGGAGCAGGCGGUUUAAUUAGAAGCUAUGUGAAGAGCCUUCCCAGGGCUUGACAUCCAUCUGUCAGGCUUCUAAUGGAGGCAUUGUUCGGGCUGAGGAGACAGGUGGGGCAGGGUGGUGGUCAUCUGGGGUCGUGGGAGGGGGGGAGAAGUCACGCAACGAGCGCCAUCCCUAUCCUCAGUAGCCAGCACUUAAGGUGGGCAGUCUGGGGAGGUUUCCAGGGAUGAAAGGGAGGAAGGAGGGGAAGGCGUCAAAUCAUCAUGCGCUCUAUGAUUUGGCCCACCCGCGUGCUCCAAUGGUGUAUACAAAGGGAAGGGAGAGUGGGAGAGGGAGCGGAUCCCAAAAAUAAUCUCGCAGCUGGGACGGUCGUGAGCAACCCGAGUACAUGAAGCGGGAAUCGCGAGUAAUCGAGGAUCGGAACACCGCGGGGAAUGCGUUCCCGGGUCUUGGACUCGCCGCCCGUCA